GCCCCCAAAUCAGGCAGCCUUACACCCCCGAUCCCAUCCGCCACCGACCACCCUUUGCCGCUCCCGACCUCACCCUUCACCGCCCCCGACCACCCUCCACUGUCCCCAAACCCCUACCGCACCCGGCUUCCUUCCCGACCACCGCGGCGGGCUAGGGUUUGACGCCGCUGGCCCUCCUGGUCGUCCUCCAGUUGAUCUCUAGAGGAAACGGCUUCCAUCCUCCUUCCAAAGCCUGUGAGCACGGAUCUGGCUCCUCCCACCGUUCCUUCCCCUCUCCUGCUUGGAGCCGCCUGUGACCACGGAUCUAACUCUCCUCCACCAGCGGCUUCUGGGAUGGCGCGGAUCCACCUCUUCUCCACAAGCACCGGCCGAGACGAUGUGGAUUCGCAUCUCCUCCUCCCUCCCUGCCAUGGCCGCCUUUAUCCAUUGCGCCCCGCCUUGCAGCUCAGCUUCUGGAAGGAGAUUUGGAGGAGUACCUGCUGCUCACGGUGGCUUCAAGCCUUCUUCCCAACUAGCCCCAGAGGCACAACGUUAAGGGUGCAAGCUCGACUGAUUCAAUGGUCUGCCUUGGCGUGAUGGCUCCCCGUCAACAACCAGGUUGACCAUGGUCUAUGCUACUCCCUCCGUUCCAAAAUAGAUGACCCAACUUUGUAUUAACUUUGUACUAAAGUUAGUAUAAAGUUGAGUCAUCUAUUUUGGAACGGAGGGAGUAGCUUGUAGGCCCUUAUCUUGUGCACCUAAUUGAUGUGGCUCUCUUCAUUGAAUGAAUUAUGUUGAUCUCGUAAAAAGGGGCAGCCCCAGUGCAUGUAGCUCCCGCUUGCGCAGGGUCUGGGGAAGGGUCCGACCACUUUGGGUCUAUUGUACGCAGCCUUUCCCUACAUUUCUGCAAGAGGCUGUUUCCAGGACUUGAACCCGUGACCUCAUGGUCACAAGGCAGCAGCUUUACCACUGCGCCAAGGCUCCCCUUCAAUUAUGUUGAUCUCGUAACUAUUUUUAAUCUAAUGAUAAGAUCCGAUUUAUGCAAAUCUUCUAUAUACAGUGUUUAGGUAGUAGGUAUUAUCUUAUUGGUUUACAAUACUGGUUCUGUUCCUGGGAAAAAGUAUUGCUUGAAUUGUAUCUUGAUCAUCAGAUCAGAUUCAUGAAUUACUAGAUGUUUCAUGUGAGCUGUCUGGGUCCGAAGUCCCUUUGUUCACAUAGUACAUUUUUGUUUCUGUAUGUGGAUAUUUAUUUAUUCUAUGAAUAUAAGUGCUGCAAACUUCUGUGAAGUCUGAUAAAAAUAGAACAAUGCAGCAGUUUCUUACCCUGUUCCAGUCUGCUGGAAGUGUCUUUGCUGCCUCUCCAAGAUGCUGGAAGGUCACCUCCAUCGAUGCUCUGUCAGCCGCUUCCACAAGCCGCCAGACUUAAGGAUGUAGAAUUACAUUUAUGGAAGGUUCAUAUUCAAUUUACUAAAAACAUGAAGCAUUGAUCUCCUUUUAAAUAUGUUUGACUAGUAAAUGGUAUUUCUAUGUAGCAGAUGUGUGCGCAAGAAAGAUAAUACAGGAUAUCACCCACUUUCAUGCCUUGGCUCAAUAAAGUGACAUUAGUGAAAAAUAAAAACUGACAACUAUACUUACGGGUAGACUGGUACCUAGCGCAAGUAUAGGGUAUUGUAGACUGGUGCAAGAAGAAAUUAAAACCAUUCCAAACAGAUCAUUUAUGGUUUUUUGUUGGAUGUCUGCAUUCUAGCUAAAGAUGACCUUGAAGUUAAUUGUCCUCCAUCUUGCUGUGAUAUUCAACUUUCUCUGUUUUAUUUCAACUCUUUCUAUUUUUCCUGUCGUAAUGAACGUCAUGUGAUAAGUGGUAGUACUAUGUCAGAGUGAUGUUGCUCUGCUUUGUACCAACUUAGAAUUCAUGUUUUAGACUAACCUAAAAUUUCAGCUCCGCAUUAUAACUUAGGUCUUGAAAGGUUCGACAAGAUCUUGAAGGUGUUGGAGGUUGGGCAAGAUCCGCAAGGCGUCCAUACUAGUUUUUUCUGCUAAAUUUGGUAGUAGCUUCUCUGUUUGUGUUCUGCAAAAUCCGACGGAAAAAGCAAGUGCUAUGUUUUUAUAAUAUAGAUGAUGAUAUUCAGCAACUAAAUUGUGCCUUUCUUUCCAGUUUUCAGUUACAUGCUUAUCUGCGUGACACCUAACUUGUCAAUCCUAAUGUGCUACGAAUUCUCGUUUCAGGAAAAAGAAUGGAAAAGGAAGAGAAGAAGACAAUGCUGAAGCACAAGAGCAACAGAGGCUAUACUUAAAGCAAGGAACAAUUAGGAUUUUUAACGAUUUGGGUCCUUUACAUUUUCAAAUCUAAAAUAAGAUUUUGGAGGCCGAGCAAGUCAGCGACAAAAUAAAAGGAAGAAGGUUUCUCAAAGAUGAACAAGUUGAUGGAGGUUUGGAAGAUCUACAGGCUGACGAAGAUUAUGAACGCCUACAAUUAAGUCGGUGUAGUGAUAAUGGAAUAUGCCUUGUUUGUUGAACAUGGAGAUUUGCUCUGCUCAUGUUGGUGGUUGUUAAGUCAAUGUAUGCUCAUGUUGGUUGUGUGGUGCAUCAAGAAAUAAAUGUGUUUCUCCCUUUUUGGCACAACUUCAGCUUGGUUGUCUGGCACAUCUAAAAACAGAUGUAUGCACUUCUUCUUUGGCACAAUGUCUUUGUAUAUGAUUGUAUGAUUAUUUAAUGAAGUUCAAGAUUUUUGACUAGACCUUUA